AUUUGUCAGAAUUUGGAUAGUUUGCUAAUGAUUGUAGGAAUUUACCUUUUAUUACAUGGGUUUAAUUGAAUUUUGGAUUCGGCGACAAGCUAAUUUAGCAGCUCAUACUCUAGUUAGGGCAACUGUAUUAUAUGCUAGUCCCACCAUUUGGUCUAAGUCCCUAAAUUCUUUAUGCAGUAUUCUUUCUUCUAAUAUUGCUCUAGCUUCUUUUACUCAAGAUUUUGGAUCAUGCAUUUGAAUGUAUUGUGGAGACCUGUUAUCUUUGGUUUAG
rnacentral:misc_RNA from 1 species